GUGGGGAAUCUUCCGCAAUGGACGAAAGUCUGACGGAGCAACGCCGCGUGAGUGAUGAAGGUCUUCGGAUUGUAAAGCUCUGUUAACCGGGACGAAAGAGCCUAGUGUGAAUAAUGCUAGGAAGUGACGGUACCGGAAUAGAAAGCCACGGCUAACUACGUGCCAGCAGCCGCGGUAAUACGUAGGUGGCAAGCGUUGUCCGGAAUUAUUGGGCGUAAAGCGCGCGCAGGCGGAUCUGCCAGUCUGUCUUAAAAGUUCGGGGCUUAACCCCGUGAUGGGAUGGAAACUACAGAUCUAGAGUAUCGGAGAGGAAAGUGGAAUUCCUAGUGUAGCGGUGAAAUGCGUAGAUAUUAGGAAGAACACCAGUGGCGAAGGCGACUUUCUGGACGAAAACUGACGCUGAGGCGCGAAAGCCAGGGGAGCGAACGGGAUUAGAAACCCUGGUAGUCC
rnacentral:rRNA from 1 species